rnacentral:rRNA from 2 species
UUAAGCGACUAAGCGUACACGGUGGAUGCCCUGGCAGUCAGAGGCGAUGAAGGACGUGCUAAUCUGCGAUAAGCGUCGGUGAGGUGAUAUGAACCGUUAUAACCGGCGAUUUCCGAAUGGGGAAACCCAGUGUGUUUCGACACACUAUCAUUAACUGAAUCCAUAGGUUAAUGAGGCGAACCGGGGGAACUGAAACAUCUAAGUACCCCGAGGAAAAGAAAUCAACCGAGAUUCCCCCAGUAGCGGCGAGCGAACGGGGAGGAGCCCAGAGCCUGAAUCAGUGUGUGUGUUAGUGGAAGCGUCUGGAAAGGCGUGCGAUACAGGGUGACAGCCCCGUACACAAAAAUGCACAUAUUGUGAGCUCGAUGAGUAGGGCGGGACACGUGGUAUCCUGUCUGAAUAUGGGGGGACCAUCCUCCAAGGCUAAAUACUCCUGACUGACCGAUAGUGAACCAGUACCGUGAGGGAAAGGCGAAAAGAACCCCGGCGAGGGGAGUGAAAAAGAACCUGAAACCGUGUACGUACAAGCAGUGGGAGCCUCUUAAUGGGGUGACUGCGUACCUUUUGUAUAAUGGGUCAGCGACUUAUAUUCUGUAGCAAGGUUAACCGAAUAGGGGAGCCGAAGGGAAACCGAGUCUUAACUGGGCGUUAAGUUGCAGGGUAUAGACCCGAAACCCGGUGAUCUAGCCAUGGGCAGGUUGAAGGUUGGGUAACACUAACUGGAGGACCGAACCGACUAAUGUUGAAAAAUUAGCGGAUGACUUGUGGCUGGGGGUGAAAGGCCAAUCAAACCGGGAGAUAGCUGGUUCUCCCCGAAAGCUAUUUAGGUAGCGCCUCGUGAAUUCAUCUCCGGGGGUAGAGCACUGUUUCGGCAAGGGGGUCAUCCCGACUUACCAACCCGAUGCAAACUGCGAAUACCGGAGAAUGUUAUCACGGGAGACACACGGCGGGUGCUAACGUCCGUCGUGAAGAGGGAAACAACCCAGACCGCCAGCUAAGGUCCCAAAGUCAUGGUUAAGUGGGAAACGAUGUGGGAAGGCCCAGACAGCCAGGAUGUUGGCUUAGAAGCAGCCAUCAUUUAAAGAAAGCGUAAUAGCUCACUGGUCGAGUCGGCCUGCGCGGAAGAUGUAACGGGGCUAAACCAUGCACCGAAGCUGCGGCAGCGACACUAUGUGUUGUUGGGUAGGGGAGCGUUCUGUAAGCCUGUGAAGGUGGCCUGUGAGGGUUGCUGGAGGUAUCAGAAGUGCGAAUGCUGACAUAAGUAACGAUAAAGCGGGUGAAAAGCCCGCUCGCCGGAAGACCAAGGGUUCCUGUCCAACGUUAAUCGGGGCAGGGUGAGUCGACCCCUAAGGCGAGGCCGAAAGGCGUAGUCGAUGGGAAACAGGUUAAUAUUCCUGUACUUGGUGUUACUGCGAAGGGGGGACGGAGAAGGCUAUGUUGGCCGGGCGACGGUUGUCCCGGUUUAAGCGUGUAGGCUGGUUUUCCAGGCAAAUCCGGAAAACCAAGGCUGAGGCGUGAUGACGAGGCACUACGGUGCUGAAGCGACAAAUGCCCUGCUUCCAGGAAAAGCCUCUAAGCAUCAGGUAACAUCAAAUCGUACCCCAAACCGACACAGGUGGUCAGGUAGAGAAUACCAAGGCGCUUGAGAGAACUCGGGUGAAGGAACUAGGCAAAAUGGUGCCGUAACUUCGGGAGAAGGCACGCUGAUAUGUAGGUGAAGCGACUUGCUCGUGGAGCUGAAAUCAGUCGAAGAUACCAGCUGGCUGCAACUGUUUAUUAAAAACACAGCACUGUGCAAACACGAAAGUGGACGUAUACGGUGUGACGCCUGCCCGGUGCCGGAAGGUUAAUUGAUGGGGUUAGCGGUAACGCGAAGCUCUUGAUCGAAGCCCCGGUAAACGGCGGCCGUAACUAUAACGGUCCUAAGGUAGCGAAAUUCCUUGUCGGGUAAGUUCCGACCUGCACGAAUGGCGUAAUGAUGGCCAGGCUGUCUCCACCCGAGACUCAGUGAAAUUGAACUCGCUGUGAAGAUGCAGUGUACCCGCGGCAAGACGGAAAGACCCCGUGAACCUUUACUAUAGCUUGACACUGAACAUUGAGCCUUGAUGUGUAGGAUAGGUGGGAGGCUUUGAAGUGUGGACGCCAGUCUGCAUGGAGCCGACCUUGAAAUACCACCCUUUAAUGUUUGAUGUUCUAACGUUGGCCCGUAAUCCGGGUUGCGGACAGUGUCUGG